CUCCUCCUCGUCCCCGCAGCAGCUCCUGAAGUCGUCCUCUCCUCUCGGAUUGUCGGCGAACCCGUCACUGGCAGACUGCCUCUCCUCCAUCUUGGAAUCCAAUCCAGUCGAAAUGCCCCUCACUCAAAAAUCAGUUAGAAGGUCAUUUCUUCCCCAAUUUUGGCAAUCCUCAUCUUAUCGACCCCACGGAUUGGGGAAUCAGAAACUGGGGGCAAAAACGGCCAGGAGGCACCAGGCGGAGCUCCACACCGCGAAUUCCACUG